UACGGGGGGGGCAAGCGUUGUUCGGAAUUACUGGGCGUAAAGGGCGCGUAGGCGGCGCAACAAGUCACUUGUGAAAUCUCCGGGCUUAACCCGGAGCGGUCAAGUGAUACUGUCGUGCUAGAGUGCGGAAGGGGCUACUGGAAUUCUCGGUGUAGCGGUGAAAUGCGUAGAUAUCGAGAGGAACACCUGCGGCGAAGGCGGGUUGCUGGGCCGACACUGACGCUGAUGUGCGAAAGCUAGGGGAGCGAACGGG
rnacentral:rRNA from 1 species